rnacentral:sRNA from 1 species
UCCUCGAUCUGCUGCGGGCAGAUGAAGUGGAUAUGGGCGUCCAUGCCGCCGGCGGUGACGCACUUGCCCUCGGCCGAAAUCACCUCCGUGCCCGGCCCGACGAUGAUGUCGACGCCGGCUUGCGUAUCCGGAUUGCCGGCCUUGCCGAUGCCGGCGAUGCGGCCGUCCUUGAUGCCGAUAUCGGCCUUGACGAUGCCCCAGUGGUCGAUGAUCAGCGCAUUGGUCAUCACCGUGUCGACCGCCCCCUCGGCCCGGCUUGCCUGGGACUGCCCCAUGCCGUCGCGGA